UUACCCUAAUUCCCUCAUUCUCCUGCCUCUUCUGGGAAAGGGAGUGAUGGGAGCAGGCUGGGUGAGGUGAGGGAGAGGCAGGCCUACGGUGGCCAGAAAUGGCUCCCUGCAGAGGCUGCAAGGCUGGCCCAAGCACCAGGUCAAGAAUGCCAAAUGAUUCCACCAGGGCUGGAAGGGGGCCAGAGACUACAGAGCCGCAUGGCUGGAGGGCAGAUGCAGCUGUUCUUUCUGGGAUUUGGAGAUCCCGUUCUCCCACCCACACUGCUCCUGGGCUGCCCAUUUGCCAAAGCCCCACCACCUCCCAAGUCUCCACCUCAACCUUUAGGCUUCAGCCACACCCAUCUUCCUCCUGCUCAGCUGGAUUCGGAAGGGCAGGCCCGGAGCCCUGAAGACUGGAGACUGGAGUGAGGCCUCCCAAUGCCGGGCCCAGAAACCUCCCAACCACCCUGCAGGGCACUGAGGCCCGUGGAAUGGUAUAAAAACCACAGUGUUCAUGUCACAGUUUAAAGACCCAGCACGUUCCAUCUGUAGCUGUGCACCAUGAUGGCUUGCUAUCAGGCUCUAGGGCCCAAGUCUAGUAAAAUUCUGGUGCUUCUGUGGCUUUGGGAUUGGAUAAUGAUAGAAACCUUGGCAGAGGAAGGAAAAAUGGAAAGACAAUCAGCGCACCAGGAACCCAGUGCAGCCCGCACAGCCACAGCGCAGGUCUGCUCCGGGUCUUUUGUCCUGACAGGAAGGGGAUGCGUCCG